CGGUAAUUCCAGCUCCAAUAGCGUAUACUAAAGUUGUUGCAGUUAAAAAGCUCGUAGUUGAAUUUCUGCGGGGACGGAGCGGCCGGACGCAACUGGCGUCUCGAGCUAGCGCUUUCCCCGCAUCCUGCCGCGAACCGUGCUACCAUUAGCUUGGUGGCGCUGGGGAUCGGCUCGAUUACUUUGAGAAAAAUAGAGUGUUCAAAGCAGGCCACACGCCUUGAAUAAGUUAGCAUGGAAUAAUGACUAAGGACUUUGGUUCUUUUCGUUGGCGUUCGGGACUGAAGUAAUGAUUGAUAGGGACAGUUGGGGCGGUCUGUAUUCCAAAGCGAGAGGUGAAAUUCUUAGACCUUCGGAAGACAAACAGCUGCGAAAGCGUUCCGCAAGGAUGUUCCCUUUGAUCAAGAACGAAAGUUGGGGGAUCGAAGACGAUCAGAUACCGUCGUAGUCUCAACUAUAAACUAUACCAGCUAGGGAUCGGCCAACGUUUAAUUAUUCGACUUGGUCGGCACCUUAUGAGAAAUCAAAGCAUCUGGGUUCCGGGGGGAGUAUGGUCGCAAGGCUGAAACUUAAAGGAAUUGACGGAAGGGCACCACCAGGCGUGGAGCCUGUGGCUUAAUUUGACUCAACACGGGAAAACUUACCAGGUCCAGACAUAGGAAGGAUUGACAGAUUGAUAGCUCUUUCUUGAUUCUGUGGGUGGUGGUGCAUGGCCGUUUUUAGUCGGUGAAGUGAUUUGUCUGCUUAAUUGCGUUAACGGACGAGACCCCAGCCUGCUAAAUAGCGCGGCCGAGCUUUGCUCGGUGCGAGCUUCUUAGAGGGACCAUGAUGCGCGAUAGCACAAGGAAGUUUGGGGCAACAACAGGUCUGUGAUGCCCUUAGAUGUUCUGGGCCGCACACGGGCUACACUGGCGCCUGCAACGAGCAUAUCAGCUGGCCCGAGAGGGUCUUGGCUAAUCUUUGGAACCGGCGCCGUGCUUAGGAUUGACCAUUGCAAUUGUUGGUCAUGCAACGAGGAAUGCCUUGUAAACGCGAGUCAUCAGCUCGCAUUGAAUACGUCCCUGCUCUUUGUACACACCGCCC
rnacentral:rRNA from 1 species